rnacentral:rRNA from 1 species
GUGCCAGCAGCCGCGGUAAGACAGAGGUGCCAAGCGUUAGGCGGAAUCACUGGGCUUAAAGCGCGCAGGCGGUUCGUUGCGUCCGAGGUGAAAUCUCCUGGCUCAAUUGGGAGGGGUCUUCGGAUACGGGCGGACUUGAGGAGAUGCAGAGGAGACUGGAAUUCCCGGUGUAGCGGUGAAAUGUGUAGAGAUCGGGAGGAACACCGGUGGCGAAGGCGGGUCUCUGGGCAUUUCCUGACGCUGAGGCGCGAAAGCGUGGGGAGCAAACGGGAUUAGAUACCCCGGUAGUCCACGCUGUAAACGAUGACGACUAGGUGUGGGGUGGUUCAGUCCACUCCGUGCCGCAGCUAACGCAUUAAGUCGUCCGCCUGGGGAGUACGGCCGCAAGGUUGAAACUCAAAUGAAUUGACGG